UACAGAGGUCCCAAGCGUUGUUCGGAUUCACUGGGCGUAAAGGGUGCGUAGGUGGUGAGGUAAGUCGGAUGUGAAAGCUCGGAGCUCAACUCCGAAAUGGCAUUGGAAACUACCUUGCUCGAGGGUUGGAGGGGGGACUGGAAUGCUUGGUGUAGCAGUGAAAUGCGUAGAUAUCAAGCGGAACACCAGUGGCGAAGGCGAGUCCUUGGACAACUCCUGACACUGAGGCACGAAAGCUAGGGGAGCAAACAGG
rnacentral:rRNA from 1 species